rnacentral:rRNA from 1 species
GAUGAACGCUAGCGGCAGGCCUAACACAUGCAAGUCGAGGGGCAGCACGUCUUCGGAUGGGUGGCGACCGGCGCACGGGUGCGUAACGCGUAUGCAACCUACCUCUUACAGUGGGAUAGCCCAGAGAAAUUUGGAUUAAUACCGCAUAGUAUACAGAUUCAGCAUUGGGACUGUAUUAAACAUUUAUGGGUAAGAGAUGGGCAUGCGUUCUAUUAGUUAGUUGGAGUGGUAACGGCACCCCAAGACAGCGAUAGAUAGGGGCCCUGAGAGGGGGACUCCCCCACACUGGUACUGGGACACGGACCAGACUCCUACGGGAGGCAGCAGUGAGGAAUAUUGGACAAGUGGGCGAGAGCCUGAUCCAGCCAUGCCGCGUGCAAGGAAGACCGGCCCUAGUGGGUUAGUAAACUGUCUUUUGGUACGGGAAAGAAACCACCCCCUCGUGAGGGGGCUUGACGGUACCGUAAGAAUAAGGAUCGGCUAACUCCGUGCCAGCAGCCGCGGUAAAGUCGUACGA